UUGGAAAUAAACAGAAAGAGAAGGUUGGCAAGGGGGAGAGACUGUGGAUUUCAUUCAGACUCAGAAGUCUGAGAAACUAAGAAGGCUAAGAAGCUCUUACAUAAGUAGCGCUCUGGCCAUCUUCAUGUGCUCUGGAGGAAACUGGCAGGUGCGCUGCGGUAGAACUCACCGAUAAUCGCCUCGUGUUGUGAGUGGUGGAGAGCAGAGGGGAGGGUAGAAAGUGGUACCAAUCACAGCCAUUGGGUUCCCAGAGAUUUCAUCCUAUUUCCCUUCUCUUCAUUUUUCUUUCUCUCUUUCUUUUCUUUCUUUAUUCCCCCUUUCCCUUGGGUGGGCUAUCAUUCUAUUAAAUGCUUCUUUUCAUUUACAUGGCUUGUGAGGAGUACUGCUUGUGUGUGUGUGUGUGUGUGUGUGUGUGUGUGUGUGUGUGUCUGUCUUAGAGAGGGGAGGAGGGGAGAGUAGAAUGAAUAAGGAAGAGAGUUGGAGUUUUCCGGGUUCUCACCAGGAAAUUAGCCCUAAGGCCUUCCUACGCUCCAGCCACAGACGGGACCAAGGACUCUCGCCCAUGUGGGGACUACCCAGCUCCCCCUCUCCCCUGCCCUCUCCUCCCUUCGGCUCCAGAGAUGACUGAUCUCAAGUCUUCCAUGGUGUCCAGCAGUGUCUGGGAUGCCUGGGACUGAGAACCUGUUACCUAGAACUGCCCCUUGUUCACCCCCCUCCCCCACAGAGCUGGGAUUCCGUGGAUUCACACAGCCAGACACUUACCUGGGGCCCCCGUGGAAAGCAUGCGGCAGUUCUUCUGCAUCUGCCCUCCCAGAGCACCGAAACUCUGGCGGGAUGUGGGUCUUCUCCCACUCCCUUUGUUUCCCCACGCCCACUGCCCAACAAGUUGACACAAUGUAGAACCAUCUGGAAGAUGUUCUCCAUGAAGGCUUGUCUAGAUUAAGCUGACUUGUGGGCGUGUCUGGCGGCGGUAUUGUUUUACGUUAAUCGAUAUGGAAGAUACAGCCCAUUGUGGUCAGUGUUAUUCCAUGGCCUCUCUCCCUCUUUCUACCUUCUCUUUCCCCCUGCCUUUCUACAAUAAAGCUCUAAAACCAUAGACCGUCUCUGCUCAUCAAGGCCCCCUGUGCUUGAUCAAGAGUUUGGUUCCUGGGCUCUUUCUCCCCUAAGUUUCUGGGUGUCAGACAUUGUAUCACAACAUCAGAAAUGAAAUGAGAAUAAUUAGAGAUCAAGGAGACAUGAAAUUCUUGUUUGUUUUUGGCUUGCCCAAAACUCUAAUUCACCUUUUGUUGAAGUAGCUCCCAUCUUCGUCCUGCUACUUAUACAUACAAGAGCCUUCAGAGCAACUUCCUUGUGGCAUAACUUACUAUUAUUCUCUUAUCUUCAUGAAAGUUUCUCUUUCUUUUAAUUUUGUAUAUGAGAAACUGGAUUUGAGGAAAGAAAUAUUUAGGAUUUUUCAAGAAUACUUAAAAUGUAAAAACAGAGGUUAUAAUUUCAGUAAGACUUAGGAAAAAAUUCCUAUGAUUUUUUUUUUCAGUCAUUUUCCAAAACACUAAGGUAACAAAAACAUUUGAAUCUGGAUCCUACUAGUUGUAAUUGUAUGAAAAUUUCAUCCAGUUUAUAUCGACACUUGUCUUGGCAUAACUCUUAAAAAUACCUAAAUAAAUAAGUAAAUAAAUAAAUAAAGGAUAUUUAUUAAAAGAGUAAACCAUUUUGUGUAUGCAUGAUACAAUUUAUAUCUGUAUAUUAUGAAAUGAUUUAUCACUAACAUUAUUUUUUGCCGAGUUUUAGGAGCACAAAAUGUUUUGGUAUUGAGUCCCAUUAUUGAGUUUAAAUAAAGGAAGCAAAACUGCACAAUAACUUUCACACACAACUUUAAUUCUGAUUGCUUUUCUAUGUAUAAUGUCCACAAACACACAAAUUAGCUACCAGUUGGAAUUUUAAAUGAGAAGAUGCAUCUUUUGGUGACAUUACUAUUCUGAAAUUACACUUCCUGAGAAACAUUUGCUUCUCUAUCUGCCAGUCAUUUACGCCAAGAAUCUUCCCUGAUGGACAAGUGAACCCCUAAUAUGAUGCGCUUUAUUCAUGGAUAUGAACAAAACCCAAGGAGCUCAAUCCUUCUCUGCUCCCCACUCAAGUGGAUUCUUCUUGUACAGACUCUCUUCUCCAUCAUUCCAUCACUUCCACAAGUACCGCCAUCUUCUUUCUCCAGAUCUCCCCAUGGACAUGAUGCACCUGGGUCCUCAGUAGCUGUGGGGUAGGACUUUAUCCCAAACUAGGUUGUACUGACUCUAUAUUCUGUAUUUUUAUCUAGGAUGCCAUGGUGGAAGGACCAGAAAGCUUAUGAGCCUGACCAUCUCUAUCGGGAGGUUUCCUUGAUGGUGUUCUUCAUUCCUGUUCUUUUUGACCCUGGAGUCUAAGUUUACUCACCAUAUUGUGAACUCCCCACUAUGCAUCCAAUAAGAAUUUUCUGGUUUUUGUUUAA